rnacentral:rRNA from 1 species
GACAGAGGGUGCAAACGUUGUUCGGAUUUACUGGGCGUAAAGCGCGUGUAGGCGGCUUUGCAAGUCGGAUGUGAAAGCCCACGGCUCAACCGUGGAAGUGCAUCCGAAACUGCAUGGCUCGAGUCUCGGAGAGGAAGGUGGAAUGCUUGGUGUAGAGGUGAAAUUCGUAGAUAUCAAGCAGAACACCUGCGGCGAAGGCGGCCUUCUGGACGAUGACUGACGCUGAGACGCGAAAGCGUGGGGAGCGAACAGG